CCCUUAGAUGUUCUGGGCAGCACGCGCGCUACAAUGGUCUUCGCAAACGGAUGCAUUCUCGAAGGAGAAUGCCAAUCUUGGAAUCUAUGCCUUGGUCGGGACAGUUGCUUGCAAUUUUUCGACUCGAACCAGGAAUUCCUUGUAAUCGUGAUUCAUCACAUCACGAUGAAUACGUCCCUGCCCUUUGUACACACCGCCCGUCGCUCCUACCGAUCGAAGAGUUAGGUGAAUUGUUUUGAUCGAUAAGAUUUGACUAUGGUCAACUCUCGUUGUGAAAUUCUGUGAAUCUGACUGUUCAGAGGAAGGAAAAGUCGUAACA
rnacentral:rRNA from 1 species